rnacentral:rRNA from 1 species
UCGGGAAUUUUGGGCAAUGGGCGAAAGCCUGACCCAGCAACGCCGCGUGAGGGAUGAAGUAUUUCGGUAUGUAAACCUCGAAAGAAUGGGAAGAAUAAAUGACGGUACCAUUUAUAAGCUCCGGCUAACUACGUGCAAGCAGCCGCGGUAAUACGUAGGGAGCAAGCGUUGUUCGGAUUUACUGGGCGUAAAGAGCGCGUAGGCGGCGCGGUAAGUCACUUGUGAAAUCUCUGAGCUUAACUCAGAACGGCCAAGUGAUACUGCUGUGCUAGAGUGCGGAAGAGGCCACCGGAAUUCUUGGUGUAGCGGUGAAAUGCAUAGAUAUCAAGAGGAACACCUGAGGCGAAGUCGGGUUGCUGGGCCGACACUGACGCGGAUGCGCGAAAGCCAGGGGAGCAAACG